GACGAACGCUGGCGGCGUGCUUAACACAUGCAAGUCGAACGGAAAGGCCUCUUUCGGGGGGUACUCGAGUGGCGAACGGGUGAGUAACACGUGAGUAACCUGCCCUUGACUUUGGGAUAACUUCAGGAAACUGGGGCUAAUACCGGAUAGGAGCUCCUGCUGCACGGUGGGGGUGGGAAAGUUUCGGCGGUUGGGGAUGGGCUCGCGGCUUAUCAGCUUGUUGGUGGGGUAGUGGCUUACCAAGGCUUUGACGGGUAGCCGGCCUGAGAGGGUGACCGGCCACCUUGGGACUUAGAUUCGGCCCCGGCUCCUACGGGAGGCAGCAGUGGGGAAUAUUGCACAAUGGGUGGAAGCCUGAUGCAGCAACGCCGUGUGCGGGAUGAAGGCCUUCGGGUUGUAAACCGCUUUCGCUCAUGACGAAGCUUUGUGUGACGGUAGUGGGUAAAGAAGCACCGGCUAACUACGUG
rnacentral:rRNA from 1 species